rnacentral:lncRNA from 1 species
AUUAGGGUUUGACACAGAUAUAAUUUAUUUGGUCAACAUUUGACCCUUAACCACAUUCUAUACACAUGAUACCGUAAUCACAGAAUAUAUACACACAUACCCUUAAUCCUGAAUAAUUCACUAAAAGAAAUUUUAAAUCCUCAAAAUUUCUUUCUGAAAACAUCAAACACAUACACUUAUUCUCUGUCUAGGUCUAUUAUUUGACCUUAAACCAAUCAUUUAAGAUUUUAAUAAUUUUCUAAUUUCUCGG